rnacentral:rRNA from 1 species
GAUGAACGCUGGCGGCGUGCCUAAUACAUGCAAGUCGAGCGAACAGACGAGGAGCUUGCUCCUCUGACGUUAGCGGCGGACGGGUGAGUAACACGUGGAUAACCUACCUAUAAGACUGGGAUAACUUCGGGAAACCGGAGCUAAUACCGGAUAAUAUAUUGAACCGCAUGGUUCAAUAGUGAAAGACGGUUUUGCUGUCACUUAUAGAUGGAUCCGCGCCGCAUUAGCUAGUUGGUAAGGUAACGGCUUACCAAGGCAACGAUGCGUAGCCGACCUGAGAGGGUGAUCGGCCACACUGGAACUGAGACACGGUCCAGACUCCUACGGGAGGCAGCAGUAGGGAAUCUUCCGCAAUGAGCGAAAGCCUGACGGAGCAACGCCGCGUGAGUGAUGAAGGUCUUCGGAUCGUAAAACUCUGUUAUUAGGGGAGAACAAAUGUGUAAGUAACUAUGCACGUCUUGACGGUACCUAAUCAGAAAGCCACGGCUAACUACGUG